rnacentral:rRNA from 1 species
ACGGAGGAUCCAAGCGUUAUCCGGAAUCAUUGGGUUUAAAGGGUCCGUAGGCGGUCAGGUAAGUCAGUGGUGAAAGCCCAUCGCUCAACGGUGGAACGGCCAUUGAUACUGCUUGACUUGAAUUAUUAGGAAGUAACUAGAAUAUGUAGUGUAGCGGUGAAAUGCUUAGAGAUUACAUGGAAUACCAAUUGCGAAGGCAGGUUACUACUAAUAUAUUGACGCUGAUGGACGAAAGCGUGGGUAGCGAACAGG